rnacentral:rRNA from 1 species
ACCCAUGUCCAGGAUGAAGGUAAGGUAAUACUUACUGGAGGUCCGAACCCACGCACGUUGAAAAGUGCGGGGAUGAGGUGUGGGUAGCGGAGAAAUUCCAAUCGAACUUGGAGAUAGCUGGUUCUCUCCGAAAUAGCUUUAGGGCUAGCCUCGAGGUAAAGAGUCAUGGAGGUAGAGCACUGUUUGGACUAGGGGCCCUUCUCGGGUUACCGAAUUCAGAUAAACUCCGAAUGCCAUGUACUUAUACUCGGGAGUCAGACUGCGAGUGAUAAGAUCCGUAGUCGAAAGGGAAACAGCCCAGACCACCAGUUAAGGUCCCCAAAUAUAUGUUAAGUGGAAAAGGAUGUGGGGUUGCUUAGACAACCAGGAUGUUGGCUUAGAAGCAGCCACCAUUGAAAGAGUGCGUAAUAGCUCACUGGUCGAGUGACCCCGCGCCGAAAAUGUACCGGGGCUAAACAUAUUACCGAAACUGUGGAUGAACCUCUUUAGAGGUUCGUGGUAGGAGAGCGUUCUAAGGGCGGUGAAGUCAGACCGGAAGGACUGGUGGAGCGCUUAGAAGUGAGAAUGCCGGUAUGAGUAGCGAAAGAAGGGUGAGAAUCCCUUCCACCGAAUAUCUAAGGUUUCCUGAGGAAGGCUCGUCCGCUCAGGGUUAGUCGGGACCUAAGCCGAGGCCGAUAGGCGUAGGCGAUGGACAACAGGUAGAGAUUCCUGUACCAGUGCUAAUUGUUUAACCGAUGGGGUGACACAGAAGGAUAGGGAAUCGCACGAAUGGAAAUGUGCGUCCAAGCAGUGAGUGUGAGAAGUAGGCAAAUCCGCUUCUCGCGAAGCAUGAGCUGUGAUGGGGAAGGAAAUUAAGUACGGAAGUUCCUGAUUUCACGCUGUCAAGAAAAGCCUCUAGGAAGAGUAGUACUGCCCGUACCGCAAACCGACACAGGUAGAUGAGGAGAGAAUCCUAAGGUGAGCGAGAGAACUCUCGUUAAGGAACUCGGCAAAAUGACCCCGUAACUUCGGGAGAAGGGGUGCUCUAUUAGGGUGCAAGCCCGAGAGAGCCGCAGUGAAUAGGCCCAGGCGACUGUUUAGCAAAAACACAGGUCUCUGCAAAACCGUAAGGUGACGUAUAGGGGCUGACGCCUGCCCGGUGCUGGAAGGUUAAGAGGAGUGCUUAGCUUCGGCGAAGGUACGAAUUGAAGCCCCAGUAAACGGCGGCCGUAACUAUAACGGUCCUAAGGUAGCGAAAUUCCUUGUCGGGUAAGUUCCGACCCGCACGAAAGGCGCAACGAUCUGGGCACUGUCUCAACGAGAGACUCGGUGAAAUUAUAGUACCUGUGAAGAUGCAGGUUACCCGCGACAGGACGGAAAGACCCCGUGGAGCUUUACUGCAACCUGAUAUGGAAUGUUUGUACCGCUUGUACAGGAUAGGUAGGAGCCGAAGAGACGUGUGCGCUAGCAUACGAGGAGGCAAUGGUGGGAUACUACCCUGGCUGUAUGACCAUUCUAACCCGCCACGCUUAGCGCGUGGGGAGACAGUGUCAGGUGGGCAGUUUGACUGGGGCGGUCGCCUCCUAAAGAGUAACGGAGGCGCCCAAAGGUUCCCUCAGAAUGGAUGGAAAUCAUUCGCAGAGUGUAAAGGCACAAGGGAGCUUGACUGCGAGACUGACAAGUCGAGCAGGGACGAAAGUCGGGCUUAGUGAUCCGGUGGUUCCGCAUGGAAGGGCCAUCGCUCAACGGAUAAAAGCUACCCCGGGGAUAACAGGCUUAUCUCCCCCAAGAGUCCACAUCGACGGGGAGGUUUGGCACCUCGAUGUCGGCUCGUCGCAUCCUGGGGCUGUAGUCGGUCCCAAGGGUUGGGCUGUUCGCCCAUUAAAGCGGCACGCGAGCUGGGUUCAGAACGUCGUGAGACAGUUCGGUCCCUAUCCGUCGCGGGCGCAGGAAAUUUGAGAGGAGCUGUCCUUAGUACGAGAGGACCGGGAUGGACACACCGCUGGUGUACCAGUUGUUCCGCCAGGAGCAUCGCUGGGUAGCUAUGUGUGGCAGGGAUAAACGCUGAAAGCAUCUAAGCGUGAAGCCCCCCUCAAGAUGAGAUUUCCCAUUUCUUCGGAAAGUAAGAUCCCUGAAAGAUGAUCAGGUAGAUAGGU